GUAGGUGGCAAGCGUUGUCCGGAAUUAUUGGGCGUAAAGCGCGCGCAGGCGGUUCUUUAAGUCUGAUGUGAAAGCCCACGGCUCAACCGUGGAGGGUCAUUGGAAACUGGAGAACUUGAGUACAGAAGAGGAAAGCGGAAUUCCACGUGUAGCGGUGAAAUGCGUAGAGAUGUGGAGGAACACCAGUGGCGAAGGCGGCUUUCUGGUCUGUAACUAACGCUGAGGCGCGAAAGCGUGGGGAGCAAACAGGGAUUAGAUACCCUGGUAGUCCACGCCGUAAACGAUGAGUGCUAAGUGUUAGGGGGUUUCCCGCCCCUUAGUGCUGCAGCUAACGCAUUAAGCACUCCGCCUGGGGAGUACGGCCGCAAGGCUG
rnacentral:rRNA from 1 species